CUAACUCCGUGCCAGCAGCCGCGGUAAUACGGAGGGUGCGAGCGUUUAAUCGGAAUUACUGGGCGUAAAGCGCAUGCAGGUGGUUUGUUAAGUCAGAUGUGAAAGCCCGGGGCUCAACCUCGGAAUUGCAUUUGAAACUGGCAAACUAGAGUACUGUAGAGGGGGUAGAAUUUCAGGUGUAGCGGUGAAAUGCGUAGAGAUCUGAAGGAAUACCGGUGGCGAAGGCGGCCCCCUGGACAGAUACUGACACUCAGAUGCGAAAGCGUGGGGAGCAAACAGGAUUAGAUACCCUGGUAG
rnacentral:rRNA from 1 species